CCAAAAUGGCUUUCUACCAAAUUGCUGGUGGAAGAAAAAACCGUGCUGGGGGCAGCAGAGUGGCUCAGAGUGAGUGUCUGGGAGCUGCUUGUAGGAGGCUGCGGAGGUUUGAGAGUGUCAACACGGCUUCCUGAGUGUUAACCCAGAGUGGAAAAGGAGGCUAUUAACGGCCACGAGCAUUUGCAUUCUUCCAUCUUGGAGGUGAGAAGAAUUGUGUGUGUAUGUGCAAGGAACAGAUGCUUCCGUCCCCAAAACUCCCUGGCUAAGCCAACUCCUCGGAAUAGAAACUUGCUUGUCAAGCUAAAGACAACACCAAGGAAAUGACAAGUCCAAAGACAGCCUGCUGAUGGAGAUGGUGUAACUUAGUAGUAGAGAAGAUACUGGAACUGAUUAUCAUACCUGCUGGAAGCUACAAUACAUGACAGAAGCCUGCCAUAGUUCCCUAGGACUGUAAUCCCAGCACUCAUGAAGCAGAGGUAGAGGAAUCUUGGCAGUGUGAGGCCGGCCUGCUCUACAUACGGAAUUGGCAUUUUGGGGCCGGCCUGCUCUACAUACGGAAUUGGCAGUCUGAGGCCGGCCUGCUCUACAUACGGAAUUGGGAGCCAGCCAGAGCUACACUGGAGAUUGAGGAAGAUUUAACAUCUUCCAUGGAAGCUGAGUGGUGGCAGCGCAUGACUUAAUCUCAGCACUCAGGAGGC